rnacentral:rRNA from 1 species
GACGUAGGGCGCGAGCGUUGUCCGGAUUUAUUGGGCGUAAAGAGCUCGUAGGCGGCUUGUCGCGUCGACUGUGAAAACCCGCGGCUCAACUGCGGGCCUGCAGCCGAUACGGGCAGGCUAGAAUUCGGUAGGGGAGACUGGAAUUCCUGGUGUAGCGGUGAAAUGCGUAGAUAUCUGGAGGAAUACCGGUGGCGAAGGCGGCAUCCUGGACCGACAUUGACGCUGAUGAGCGAAAGCUAGGGGAGCAAAC